rnacentral:rRNA from 1 species
CUGGCCUUGACAUCCACGGAAUUCGGCAGAGAUGCCUUAGUGCCUUCGGGAACCGUGAGACAGGUGCUGCAUGGCUGUCGUCAGCUCGUGUUGUGAAAUGUUGGGUUAAGUCCCGCAACGAGCGCAACCCUUAUCCUUUGUUGCCAGCACGUAAUGGUGGGAACUCAAAGGAGACUGCCGGUGAUAAACCGGAGGAAGGUGGGGAUGACGUCAAGUCAUCAUGGCCCUUACGGCCAGGGCUACACACGUGCUACAAUGGCGCAUACAAAGAGAAGCGACCUCGCGAGAGCAAGCGGACCUCAUAAAGUGCGUCGUAGUCCGGAUCGGAGUCUGCAACUCGACUCCGUGAAGUCGGAAUCGCUAGUAAUCGUAGAUCAGAAUGCUACGGUGAAUACGUUCCC